CAUCAUCUUCAUAAAUGAAAAAAGCCCCUCAGCAACCCAGACUGAAAUUGAAGGUGAUGGUACAGGAAUGUCUAGCAGUCUAAGUUUAUAGUUUGCCUGCAAACUUGAUAUGAGAUAAGGAAAACAAAUUUCUGUCAGGAAUACUUUGGCAGCAAGUAUGGAAAUCACAGAAUCAUAGAACAGCUUAGGUUGGAAGGGACCUUAAAGAGCAUUGAGCUCCAACCCUCCUGCUGUGGGCAGGGUUGGUAGCCACCAGCUCAGGCUUCCCAGGGCUCCAUCCAACCUGGCCUUGAGCACCUAUAGGGAUGGGUUGUCCACAGCUUCUCUGGGCAGCCUGUGCUAGUGUCUCACCUCCAUGCUGGCUGUCUUGGAUUGCCUCCUCAUCUCACAUGUGCCUUAAUAUCUCUUCCAGGUUCAGGACGGUGCAGAAGGGCACCACCAAGAAGGAUGAACUACCACUGCUGCUGGAGCUGGAGUCUGAAUAGAUGGAGAGCACAUCUCCCAUGGAGACAGCAGCAUGUGCCUCACCUAAGACCAAGAUGUGUAAAGCAUUUUCUGAUGUCUUGCUUGAAGUGGAAGAUGUAGAUGCCAGAGAUGGUGCUGACCUCUGCAGCAAAUACGGGAAGGACAUCCACAAACACCUCAGAGACCUUGAGCAUGCACUGAGUGCAAGCGAACACCUUCAGCCAGACACCACCAAAAAGAAAACAAAAUGACCGUCUGCUCAGGAACUAGACUUGGAAAGAUGUACAAUCUUUGCCACAUGGAUCUCUGAAGAGAGGUGCUCUGAACAGGGACCACCUGGAGCCUUCCCAGUGUUGAGCAGAAUUACUUCAUUUCUUCACCCUAUGUUGUAAGGUAUCCAUGCUUUUAUGCAUCUGAGCAUGCCAUUAAACAUCAUUUACAGCCGCAAAACACUUUCAGAUCUUUUCUUAAUUGAUCCAGCUCUUCCUGUAGCUUGACAUACUAACAGUACGUUCCGGGUUGGAUCUGUGCAACAAGUUUUUAUAAGCCUUACUUUUUACUUUAGCAUUCAGGUCACUAAUGAGAGUGCUGCAUGUUGUCUGAUCCAGACCCCCUGUGUGAUGCCUCCUUUUCAUUUUGAUAGUGAAGCAUUGAUAAAUACUAUUAAGGUAUGGUUUUCACACAGCGUUGCACCCCCCUAUUACAUUUCCAUCAGUAUUAUGUGGGACACUGCAUUAGAAAUCAGGGACAA
rnacentral:lncRNA from 1 species